GUAGGUGGCAAGCGUUGUCCGGAAUUAUUGGGGCGUAAAGCGCGCGCAGGCGGUUCUUUAAGUCUGAUGUGAAAGCCCACGGGCUCAACCGUGGAGGGUCAUCGGAAACUGGAGAACUUGAGUACAGAAGAGGAAAGCGGAAUUCCACGUGUAGCGGUGAAAUGCGUAGAGAUGUGGAGGAACACCAGUGACGAAGGCGGCUUUCUGGUCUGUAACUGACGCUGAGGCGCGAAAGCGUGGGGAGCAAACAGGAUUAGAUACCCUGGUAGUCCACGCCGUAAACGAUGAGUGCUAAGUGUUAGGGGGUUUCCGCCCCUUAGUGCUGCAGCUAACGCAUUAAGCACUCCGCCUGGGGAGUACGGCCGCAAAGGCUG
rnacentral:rRNA from 1 species